CACGGAGGAUCCGAGCGUUAUCCGGAUUUAUUGGGUUUAAAGGGUGCGUAGGCGGUUUGAUAAGUUAGAGGUGAAAUGUCGGGGCUCAACCCCGAAACUGCCUCUAAUACUGUUGGACUAGAGAAUAGUUGCGGUAGGCGGAAUGUAUGGUGUAGCGGUGAAAUGCUUAGAGAUCAUACAGAACACCGAUUGCGAAGGCAGCUUACCAAACUAUAUCUGACGUUGAGGCACGAAAGCGUGGGUAGCAAACAGG
rnacentral:rRNA from 1 species